UCUGGCGGUACAAGAAUACCAUUCAUGUCUUACCCUUAAGAGGUGAUGGAUAAAAUUAUCCUGAUUAUGAAGAAAUUAUUUGUCCGGGAAAGAAAGCCUGCUGACUCUAUUGUGUAGGUAUCCACCUUUUUCUGAGUCUGACCUCACUCAGCUCUGGCAGCGAGGAUCACUGCUCCACCUGCUCUGGUGGAAAACUCUUAACAGGAGGAGUUCCAGAUGCAAAAGCCCCACAGCAAACCUGCAGGGAGACACCAUGGAAUGCCUGGAGGGUCUCUAGCAGAGAUGAUCUCUGGUAAAUCAUGGAGCGACUGCUCGGCCUGCCCUCCUGCCCAGCAUGAGAGCAUCUUGAGCCCCGGGGCCCUUCAGAGGUCUCCACUGCAGGUCACUGCAUGCAUGCAGCUGUAGCCCAGCCUGGGGAAACAGCCACAGGGGAGCUGAGGAGACCAGGACGAACCUGGGGCCCAGAGAACGCGUCUGGGUGUGCAAGAAUGCUGCAAAGAAACACUGUCCUGUGACAGCUGACCCUGUUUUUAAUCCCCAGUGAUGUGUCUGGAGAAACUGGAUAUAUUUGUUACUCUGAGAGACAGAUGAUGUCUCAUCAUCUUAAUUAGCAUCUCGGCUAGCUAGUGUGAUCAUUCACUUUUUUCCACAAAUUUCUUGGCAAUUUCUAUUUCUUCAUACCCAAGUCUUCUCUAUUAAAAAGCCAC